GUGUCCUCAUAAGCAACAGAAAAGAUGCUGAGACACAAGGAGGAAGGGAAAUGAAGACAGAGGCACCACAUUUUCUUUAUCUUUUUGUCCUUUGACUCACAUUUGGGUUGUUUCCACCUUUUGUCUAUUACACAUAAUGCUGCUAUAAACAGUCAUGUGUGAGUUUCUAUAUGUACAUAUGUUUUCAUUUCUCUUGAGUAUCUACUUAGGAGUGAAUUGCUGGGUCAUAUGGUAGCCUUAUAGUUUAAUCAGUUGAAGAGCUGCCAGACAGUUUUCCAAAGUGGCCACACCAUUUUAAACUCCCAUAAGUAGUGUAUGAGGGUUUUAAUUUCUUCACAUCCAA
rnacentral:lncRNA from 1 species